AUUCCAAUUACCGCAGGAAUCAAAGAUAAUACGCCCCCGGUUUGCACACCGGGAAUCCAGGAGAGUUCAUGUAC
rnacentral:sRNA from 1 species